rnacentral:rRNA from 1 species
UACGAAGGGGGCUAGCGUUGCUCGGAAUUACUGGGCGUAAAGCGCACGUAGGCGGCUUGGAAAGUUGGGGGUGAAAUCCCGGGGCUCAACCCCGGAACUGCCUUCAAAACUCCCAGUCUGGAGGUCGAGAGAGGUGAGUGGAAUUCCGAGUGUAGAGGUGAAAUUCGUAGAUAUUCGGAGGAACACCAGUGGCGAAGGCGGCUCACUGGCUCGAUACUGACGCUGAGGUGCGAAAGCGUGGGGAGCAAACAGG